rnacentral:rRNA from 1 species
UACGGAGGGUGCAAACGUUGCUCGGAAUCCUUGGGCGUAAAGCGCACGUAGGCGGUCCGUUAUGUCGGGUGUGAAAGCCCUCGGCUUAACCGAGGAAGUGCAUUCGAAACUGGCGGACUUGAGUACCGGAGAGGGUCGCGGAAUUCCCGGUGUAGAGGUGAAAUUCGUAGAUAUCGGGAGGAACACCAGUGGCGAAGGCGGGUCUCUGGGCAACAACUGACGCUGAGGAGCGAAAGCGUGGGGAGCGAACAGG